rnacentral:rRNA from 1 species
UUUCCUGAGGGUUUGAUCCUGGCUCAGGGCGAACGCUAGCGGCGCGCCUAACCCAUGCAAGUCGUGCGGGAAAGGGCUUCGGCCCAAGUACCGC